rnacentral:rRNA from 1 species
CCUACGGGUGGCAGCAGUGAGGAAUAUUGGUCAAUGGGCGCGAGCCUGAACCAGCCAAGUCGCGUGAGGGAGGACGGCCCUACGGGUUGUAAACCUCUUUUGCCGGGGAGCAACGGGCGUCACGUGUGGCGCCCCUGAGAGUACCCGGAGAAAAAGCAUCGGCUAACUCCGUGCCAGCAGCCGCGGUAAUACGGAGGAUCCGAGCGUUCUCCGGAUUUAUUGGGUUUAAAGGGAGCGUAGAUGGGUUGUUAAGUCAGUUGUGAAAGUUUGCGGCUCAACCGUAAAAUUGCAAUUGAUACUGGCAGCCUUGAGUACAGUUGAGGUAGGCGGAAUUCGUGGUGUAGCGGUGAAAUGCUUAGAUAUCACGAAGAACUCCGAUUGCGAAGGCAGCUUACUAAACUGCCACUGACAUUGAUGCUCGAAAGUGUGGGUAUCAAACAGGAUUAGAUACCCUUGUAGUC